UGUGGGAGCGAGCCUGCUCGCGAUGGCGGUGGGUCAGUUGGGUUGAUGUUGCUGCUGGACUGCUAUCGCGAGCAAGCUCGCUCCCACA
rnacentral:misc_RNA from 1 species